rnacentral:tRNA from 1 species
GCCGCGGUAGCCCAAUUGGUAGAGGCGCUGCACUCAGAAUGCAGAACGUGCGGGUUCGAAUCCCGCUCGCGGCA